GAUGAACGCUGGCGGCGUGCCUAACACAUGCAAGUCGAGCGUGAACCGUCUGAAUGAAACUUCGGUCGAGUGAGGAUGGGGAAAGCGGCGGACGGGUGAGUAACGCGUAGGCAACCUGCCCCGUACAGAGGGAUAGCCUCGGGAAACCGGGAUUAAGACCUCAUAAUACCAUUAUCUCACAUGUGAUAAUGGUCAAAGAUUUUAUCGGUAUGGGAUGGGCCUGCGUCUGAUUAGCUGGUUGGUGGGGUAACGGCUCACCAAGGCGACGAUCAGUAGCCGACCUGAGAGGGUAAUCGGCCACAUUGGAACUGAGACACGGUCCAAACUCCUACGGGAGGCAGCAGUGGGGAAUAUUGCACAAUGGGCGAAAGCCUGAUGCAGCAACGCCGCGUGAGCGAGGAAGGCCUUUGGGUCGUAAAGCUCUGUCGAGGAGGAAGAUAAUGACGGUACUCCUCGAGGAAGCCCCGGCUAACUACGUGCCAGCAGCCGCGGUAAAACGUA
rnacentral:rRNA from 1 species